UAGGUUAGAAGCUCGCUGUAGGGGCUACAUUCGAGUGCUCUUGUACUGAUCAAUCAUGAUACAGAUGCACAAUUCGCCCUUGGGAAGGUCUGAGACCAAGGUCGCUUUACGUCUUCCAGACGAAGGCCGCUGUAACAGGCGGGUGGGUCACCAGAAAUUGGCUUGAUGGAGUUUAUAUCGGUCCAAGACACUACAAGGGAUUUAUCUCUUUAGUGGAGGCCAUGAACUUGCAUCAUAGUUGAAAAAAGACUCACGACCAGCUGAAUGAGUUCAAUUAGCGAGGUGGCACUUAUGUGUUCUAACUCAAUUCAGACUACUCUCUGACCUA
rnacentral:RNase_P_RNA from 1 species